UACGUCAUAACAAAUUCGUGUCCCCUUGUGCUCUAAGGGAACGUAAUACAGCUGCUAAUUCUUUACAAGAGACUUCGGAGGCCUUUCCUGUCUGCAACAUCCAAAAUCAGAUGAAAAGCAUAACAGCAUACAACUUUGGUGAGCUGGAAAAGAGCUAGCUAUAGAUAAGAAGCUAUCUGGGUAUAUUGGUGUUAAUGACAAAAAAGAGAGCUCCCAAUGAACAAACACACUCUGAGCAGCAAAAAGCGAAGCAUUUUUGGGUAUCUAGGUUUCUCAUCACUGAUAGACUAUGUACCACAUUUCAGGAUGGUUGCAGGCAUCUUAAGCAGGUGCUUUUGAUCCUUUUAUUACUAGUUGAUCAUUUUAUAUUUUAUAUUUUCUACGGACAUACUUUAGUGAUCUAAACGCUCUUAUAUUUCUUUACGAAGGAGAGAGUAACAUGGAAGGACAUGUGUGUUUCUGUGAUUCUGUCGAAGGCGAAACACAACGUGGGGUACUCCUAUAAUUAUUGGCAAAAACAUACUUGAGGCUCUGUGAAGUCCAUUCUGGAUUGAGGAACCAGAGAGUAUGCGCGUUGCUGCAAUCAUGGAGCUUCCAGUGGCGAGAUGAGAUUAUACACACACGUGACAUAUAGCCGGUGCCUGUCUGAACCCAACCCUUGGCGUAUGCAACCGGAGGAAUCAGUCAGGAGUCGGGCAACGUCACUCGUGGGAAACCUACACUGUUCAGGACUCAGCAACCGGCCAAGGUGUGUGGGGGGAAGGAAGAUGGCGCCUCUCUGGCUGUCCACAGGUCUGAGAAGAUUUAACAAGGGCAGAAAAAGAAAAUCGUGCGUAGGGGCUCCUCCAGCAAGAACUGCGAACUUUACGGGAAAAGACUGACAAGCGUAGCCUAGUUUCAUAAUAAUUACGCCCAUGAGAUUGAGAUUCCACAAGGAUUCGAGAUCAAUGACAACGCAAGUAAUGAUAUUUUAGAAGCAUGUGCUCCUGCGACCUAGGGAAGAUAUAUAUAUCUCGAACACUUUUCCCUGCCCCUCCUUUUCAUUUCAAGCAAAAGGGUUGACUAUGCUGUAGCGCCCAAGUAACAUAUUGAUUUGCCCACUUGACCUAGAUUCGGUGUGGACUCGUGAUCAACUGCAAUGCUAAAAUAAUGUGGACCUAGCUA